UGUUAUUCACAAGACAAGAUUUCAUCCCUCAAAAAGUUUUCCAAGUUCCACCUCUCGGAAAAAUAUAUUCAUUUCGGUGAAAUCUAAGUGUUGAGUUCGCUCUUCACAAGACUAGAUUUCAUCCCUUAAGGAUUUUUCCAAGUUCCACCUCUUGGAAAAAUAUAUUCAUUUAGCUCGCUCUUCACAAGACUAGAUUUU
rnacentral:sRNA from 1 species